rnacentral:rRNA from 2 species
GAUUGGUGCUUGCAUCAUGAUUUACAUUUGAGUGAGUGGCGAACUGGUGAGUAACACGUGGGAAACCUGCCCAGAAGCGGGGGAUAACACCUGGAAACAGAUGCUAAUACCGCAUAACAACUUGGACCGCAUGGUCCGAGUUUGAAAGAUGGCUUCGGCUAUCACUUUUGGAUGGUCCCGCGGCGUAUUAGCUAGAUGGUGGGGUAACGGCUCACCAUGGCAAUGAUACGUAGCCGACCUGAGAGGGUAAUCGGCCACAUUGGGACUGAGACACGGCCCAAACUCCUACGGGAGGCAGCAGUAGGGAAUCUUCCACAAUGGACGAAAGUCUGAUGGAGCAACGCCGCGUGAGUGAAGAAGGGUUUCGGCUCGUAAAACUCUGUUGUUAAAGAAGAACAUAUCUGAGAGUAACUGUUCAGGUAUUGACGGUAUUUAACCAGAAAGCCACGGCUAACUACGUGCCAGCAGCCGCGGUAAUACGUAGGUGGCAAGCGUUGUCCGGAUUUAUUGGGCGUAAAGCGAGCGCAGGCGGUUUUUUAAGUCUGAUGUGAAAGCCUUCGGCUCAACCGAAGAAGUGCAUCGGAAACUGGGAAACUUGAGUGCAGAAGAGGACAGUGGAACUCCAUGUGUAGCGGUGAAAUGCGUAGAUAUAUGGAAGAACACCAGUGGCGAAGGCGGCUGUCUGGUCUGUAACUGACGCUGAGGCUCGAAAGUAUGGGUAGCAAACAGGAUUAGAUACCCUGGUAGUCCAUACCGUAAACGAUGAAUGCUAAGUGUUGGAGGGUUUCCGCCCUUCAGUGCUGCAGCUAACGCAUUAAGCAUUCCGCCUGGGGAGUACGGCCGCAAGGCUGAAACUCAAAGGAAUUGACGGGGGCCCGCACAAGCGGUGGAGCAUGUGGUUUAAUUCGAAGCUACGCGAAGAACCUUACCAGGUCUUGACAUACUAUGCAAAUCUAAGAGAUUAGACGUUCCCUUCGGGGACAUGGAUACAGGUGGUGCAUGGUUGUCGUCAGCUCGUGUCGUGAGAUGUUGGGUUAAGUCCCGCAACGAGCGCAACCCUUAUUAUCAGUUGCCAGCAUUAAGUUGGGCACUCUGGUGAGACUGCCGGUGACAAACCGGAGGAAGGUGGGGAUGACGUCAAAUCAUCAUGCCCCUUAUGACCUGGGCUACACACGUGCUACAAUGGAUGGUACAACGAGUUGCGAACUCGCGAGAGUAAGCUAAUCUCUUAAAGCCAUUCUCAGUUCGGAUUGUAGGCUGCAACUCGCCUACAUGAAGUCGGAAUCGCUAGUAAUCGCGGAUCAGCAUGCCGCGGUGAAUACGUUCCCGGGCCUUGUACACACCGCCCGUCACACCAUGAGAGUUUGUAACACCCAAAGU